rnacentral:rRNA from 1 species
GACGAACGCUGGCGGCGUGCUUAACACAUGCAAGUCGAGCGGUAAGGCCCUUUCGGGGGUACACGAGCGGCGAACGGGUGAGUAACACGUGGGUGACCUGCCCUUAGCUCUGGGAUAAGCCUGGGAAACUGGGUCUAAUACCGGAUAUGACUCCAUGACGCAUGUUGUGGGGUGGAAAGCCUUGUGCGGCUAGGGAUGGGCCCGCGGCCUAUCAGCUUGUUGGUGGGGUGAUGGCCACCAAGGCGACGACGGGUGGCCGGCCUGAGAGGGCGACCGGCCACACUGGGACUGAGACACGGCCCAGACUCCUACGGGAGGCAGCAGUGGGGAAUCUUGCGCAAUGGGCGAAAGCCUGACGCAGCGACGCCGCGUGAGGGAUGACGGCCU